rnacentral:lncRNA from 1 species
GUGUCCCCCCCCCUUCCAAGUCCCUUAAUUAAUUUGAGGGCAGUAUCACAGCUAUGCCCGUGUAUUUAUAGCGGGAUACUGAGGGCGAGUGCUGCGUGCGUUAGGGCUUGGGGUAAGGGACGCCGGAGGGUGUCAGGCCUGCUGCGAUGUCACUGGGGGACCCCGAAGGACGGCGGGAAGACAAACCUGGUCCUUCCUGGGAAUGGUCCCCAGUGCUGGCUGUAGCCUAACCGCUGCCAGGGGCCGAGCUAACAGCUAAGCAGAACGGAUGAGCAGUGUUUUCCAACUAACCUCUUGGCUUUGUUUUGUUUAGUGGGGCAGAUGUAGCUGUUGUUGUGCGUGUUGGAGUGUUUAAUUUGCUAUAACAUAAUUUUGCUUUUUUGACAGGGCAAUAUGUUGCGGUAUAUCUGAAGUGUGAGAAGUACCAAUCGAGCACAGACUGACACGUUUUAAAAUAUCAGUGUUUGCCAGAGCUUCCUCACCAAAUGCUCAUAAAGAGGUCACCUGAUUGAUGGCUAGUGGACGUCCUCAGCUGCAGGAAGCAGACAGUGUGGAAGUUUAAAGGGACCUCCGAUAAUCCCAACAGUUUCACGCCUUUGCCAUGAUCCUGAAAUAUCUUGCCGAGUACAGAGCGAUGGAGGAGGUAUGCCUUCCUUACAGCCUGAGGCAGUUGGUGUUAGGGAUCACAGAAUCAGACAGCAGUAGCGGGCCCAGCAUGCCAAGGGAAGGAAGAGCAAGCACACCCUUCAAGAAUCUGCUUUUCUGGAGUGUGAAGCUCACGCCCGUUAAUAUUGCCUGGAGUGCUGGGUGUUGUGGAUUCCCAUCGCUUCUGAAAAUUUUAACACCGUACACCCAUUUCAAACACUCCCAACAGCAUAAAUUAGACUACUCAUCUACUGUGAAACCCACAGUACUUACUAGGUUCAAACCUCAGUCUUGGCCCCAGCUGUGUAAAGCAGACAGCAAGCUGCCCGAAAGGAGCAGCCAAGAUUUCCCUCAAGGAAAUCUUUCUUUUUGCCCUUUCACACAAGGGCAAAUUUCCAUUUCAUAA